GGGGUUGUGGCUCAGUGGUAGAGCGCUUGCCUACCAUGCAUGAGGCACUAGGUUCCAUCCUUAGCAUCACAU
rnacentral:tRNA from 1 species